rnacentral:rRNA from 1 species
AACGAACGCUGGCGGCGCGUCUUACCCAUGCAAGUCGAGCGGCAGGCAGCAAUGCCGAGAGCGGCGGACUGGUGAGUAACACGUGGAUAACGUACCCCGAUGUCCGGGACAGCCUGUAGAAAUAGAGGGUAAUACCGGAUAGAUCACUGUUUACGUGAGGUAGACAGCGGGAAAGGAGCUUCGGCUCCGCGACGGGAUCGGUCUGCGGCCCAUCAGCUGGACGGCGGGGUAAAGGCCCGCCGUGGCGAGGACGGGUAUCCGGCCUGAGAGGGCGGACGGACACAUUGGGACUGAGAUACGGCUCAGACUCCUACGGGAGGCAGCAGGUAAGAAUAUUCCGCAAUGGGGGGAACCCUGACGGAGCGACGCCGCGUGAACGAAGAAGGCCGGAAGGUUGUAAAGUUCUUUUCUGUCCGAGGAAUAAGUUUCGGAGGAAAUGCCGGGACGGUGACGGUAGGGCAGGAAUAAGCACCGGCUAAUUACGUG